UACGAAGGGGACUAGCGUUGUUCGGAAUCACUGGGCGUAAAGCGUAUGUAGGCGGCCAUCUAAGUCAGGUGUGAAAGCCCCGGGCUCAACCCGGGAAGUGCAUUUGAUACUGGAUAGCUUGAGUCCGGGAGAGGUGAGUGGAACUGCGAGUGUAGAGGUGAAAUGCGUAGAUAUCGCUUGGAACGCCAACGGUGAAAACAGCUCGCUGGGGGUGUGCUGACGCUGAGACACGAAAGCCAGGGGAGCGAACGGG
rnacentral:rRNA from 1 species